rnacentral:rRNA from 1 species
CAGUAGCCGCGGUAAUACAGAGGGUGCGAGCGUUAAUCGGAUUUACUGGGCGUAAAGCGUGCGUAGGCGGCUUCUUAAGUCGGAUGUGAAAUCCCUGAGCUUAACUUAGGAAUUGCAUUCGAUACUGGGAAGCUAGAGUAUGGGAGAGGAUGGUAGAAUUCCAGGUGUAGCGGUGAAAUGCGUAGAGAUCUGGAGGAAUACCGAUGGCGAAGGCAGCCAUCUGGCCUAAUACUGACGCUGAGGUACGAAAGCAUGGGGAGCAAACAGGAUUAGAGACCCCCGUAGUCCCUGUCUCUUAUAA